rnacentral:rRNA from 1 species
GAUGAACGCUAGCGGCAGGCCUAAUACAUGCAAGUCGAACGGUAAGCUCCUGCUUGCAGGAGACACGAGUGGCGCACGGGUGCGUAACGCGUAGGAACUCACCCCAAAGUUGAGCAUAACCCAUCGAAAGGUGGAAUAAUUCUCAAUAGUCCCGCAAGGGUAAAGAUUUAUCGCUUUGGGAGAGGCCUGCGUAGUAUCAGCUUGUUGGUAGUGUAAUGGACUACCGAGGCUAUGACGCUUAGGGGAGGUGAGAGCCUGACCCCCACCGAUGGAACUGAGACACGGUCCAUACACCUACGGGUGGCCGCAGUCGAGAAUCUUCCGCAAUGGACGAAAGUCUGACGGAGCGACGUCGCGUGAUUGAUGAAGUCCUUCGGGAUGUAAAGAUCUUUUAUAGGUGAAGAAGUUUAUUGACAUUAGCCUAUGAAUAAGGAGCUGCUAAACUCGUGCCAGCAGCAGCGGUAAUACGAGUGCUCCAAGCGUUAUCCGGAAUUAUUGGGCGUAAAGGGUCCGCAGGCGGUUAUAUUAGUCUUUCGUCAAAGCCCAGGGCUUAACCCUGGAUCAGCGAAAGAAACGGUAUAACUAGAGGAUGUGAGAGGUAUAUGGAACUUACGGUGUAGGGGUGAAAUCCGUUGAUAUCGUGGGGAACACCAAAAGCGAAGGCAAUAUACUGGCACAUUCCUGACGCUCAGGGACGAAAGCGUGGGUAGCGAAUGGGAUUAGAUACCCCCAGUAGUCCACGCCCUAAACGAUCUUCUCUAGCUAUUCGGAGUAUCGACCCUCUGUGUGGCGAAGCUAACGCGUUAAGAGAAGCGCCUGGGGAGUACGAGCGCAAGCUUAAAACUCAAAGGAAUAGACGGGGACUCGCACAAGCGGUGGAUCACGUGGCUUAAUUCGAUGUUAAGCGAAGAACCUCACCAAGACUAGAAACUUAUACUGAAAGUUCUGAGAAACCAGAACCCUCUUCGGACAGUUAAGCAGGUGAUGCAUGGCCGUCGUCAGUUCGUGGCUUGAGUUGUUCCGUUAAGUCGGGAAACGAACGCAACCCUCGUUGUCUGUUAUAUUUGUCAGGCGAGACUGCCCCGUGUAGUGUACCUAAAAAGUUUGGGUAUAGUACACGGGGAGGAAGGCGGGGAUGACGCCAGGUCAGCAUGUCCCUUGAUGUCUUGGGCUGCACACAUGAUACAAUGGUCACUACAACGGGUUGCGAUACGGUAACGUUCAGCUAAUCCUUCAAAAGUGGCCCCAGUUCGGAUUGAGGGCUGAAACUCGCCCUCAUGAAGUUGGAAUCGCUAGUAAUGGCAGGUCAGAACACUGCCGUGAAUACGUUCUCGAGUCUUGUACUCACCGCCCGUCAAGUCAAGGGAGCCGGGAGUGCCCAACGCCUCACCUAAAGUGGGUCUAAGGUAAGCUUGGUAACAGGGACU